UUUCCCGGUUGAUCCUGCCCGGAGGUCACUGCUAUUGGGAUUCGACUAAGCCAUGCGAGUCGAGAGGGUUCGGCCCUCGGCAGACGGCUCAGUAACACGUGGAUAAUCUGCUCUUAGGUGGAGGAUAAUCUCGAGAAAUUGAGCAUAAUACUCCAUAACUUUAGAUUGCUGGAAUGCAUUUAAGGCUAAAGCCCCGGCGCCUAAGGAUGAGUCUGCGGCCUAUCAGGUUGUAGUGAGUGUAACGGACUCACUAGCCGACGACGGUUACGGGUCCUGGAAGGGAGUGCCCGGAGAUGGACUCUGAGACACGAGUCCAGGCCCUACGGGGCGCAGCAGCUACGAAAACUUCACAAUGCGGGAAACCGCGAUGAGGGGAUUCCAAGUGCUUAUACUUUGUAUAAGCUGUUUACUUGCCUAAAAAGCAGGUAGAGUAAGGGCUGGGUAAGACUGGUGCCAGCCGCCGCGGUAAUACCAGCAGCUCGAGUGGUGAUCGUUUUUAUUGGGCCUAAAGCGUCCGUAGCCUGUUUGGUAAACCCUUGGGUAAAUCGAGCAGCUUAACUGUUCGAAUUCUGAGGAGACUGCCAGACUUGGGACCGGGAGAGGUCAGAGGUACUCUUAGGGUAGGGGUGAAAUCCUGUAAUCCUAAGAGGACCACCAGUGGCGAAGGCGUCUGACUAGAACGGGUCUGACGGUGAGGGACGAAGCCCUGGGUCACGAACCGGAUUAGAUACCCGGGUAGUCCAGGGUGUAAACGCUGCGGGCUUGGUGUUGGGGGUCCUACGAGGGCAUCCAGUGCCGGAGAGAAGUUGUUAAGCCCGCCGCCUGGGGAGUACGAUCGCAAGAUUGAAACUUAAAGGAAUUGGCGGGGGAGCACAGCAACGGGUGGAGCGUGCGGUUUAAUUGGAUUCAACGCCGGG
rnacentral:rRNA from 1 species